rnacentral:rRNA from 1 species
CCUACGGGAGGCAGCAGUGGGGAAUAUUGCACAAUGGGCGCAAGCCUGAUGCAGCAACGCCGCGUGAGGGACGACGGCCUUCGGGUUGUAAACCUCUUUUAGUAGGGAAGAAGCGAAGGUGACGGUACCUGCAGAAAAAGCACCGGCUAACUACGUGCCAGCAGCCGCGGUAAUACGUAGGGUGCAAGCGUUAUCCGGAAUUAUUGGGCGUAAAGAGCUCGUAGGCGGUUUGUCGCGUCUGCUGUGAAAACUGGAGGCUCAACCUCCAGCCUGCAGUGGGUACGGGCAAACUAGAGUGCGGUAGGGGAGAUUGGAAUUCCUGGUGUAGCGGUGGAAUGCGCAGAUAUCAGGAGGAACACCGAUGGCGAAGGCAGAUCUCUGGGCCGUAACUGACGCUGAGGAGCGAAAGCAUGGGGAGCGAACAGGAUUAGAUACCCUGGUAGUCCAUGCCGUAAACGUUGGGCGCUAGAUGUGGGGACCAUUCCACGGUUUCCGUGUCGCAGCUAACGCAUUAAGCGCCCCGCCUGGGGAGUACGGCCGCAAGGCUAAAACUUAAAGGAAUUGACGG